AAUGGAUGUUAAUAAUCUCCUUGCACUUCUUUUUGGUAAGACAAUCUUACAAUUUUUAAUACUAAGUUGACCAUCUGUAAUGUUAUGCUUACAUUUUAAAUAUUAUCAAAGAAUGACACCAUUUCUAUAUUUGAAACAUCAUUCUAGAAAACACUUUAUUUGGUACAAUCGCACGCAAGGUAGUCAAACAGUUUGUUAUUCUAAAACUGAAAUGGUUAGCAAUAUGAAAUAAAUAAACGGAACUAUUCAAGUCCUGUAAAUAAAACCAGUUACUAACAAAACAUUACUUAACGUGACUUGAUGAUUGAUUCAGUGUAUCUGUAUGUUCAGCUCAAAGAAUUGGUUACAAGUCACGAUACAAAUGUAGUUUCUAAGACAGACAAGAAACAAGCAGUUUUUAGAAAAAGUAAAAUUUUAAAAAAGUACCGAACUCCUAGGAAAAUUCAAAUCGUAUCGUCCCUAUAAAAAAAUAAAAACAAAAGCUCAAACAAAUUACCGAGUUACCAAACGAAGGUAAUGUAAAAGUAAACUUUAAUAAUUUAAAAACUUAAAAUUAAGGUUAAAUUCCUAUGUGUGUCUCUGUGAGAUGCAAAACAGAGAUAAUAUCUGGGAACCAGCAGGUUAACAAAACAAAACAUAUAUGAAUAUAAAAUAUGUCUACAAAAGCGGCUUGCUUUGUGGAACAGCAGACUUUACAUAGUGAAACAUAAACUAACUUUUUUUCAAAUGGAAAAAUCGUUUUUUCUUAUUACAAUACUAUUGAUUUCAGCUUUAUAACCUUCAGAAAAUCUGCAUAUAAUCUAACGUUUCUUUUGCAGUUCCAUCAAUAUCUUCACUCUGUUUCAAUUUGUUUUUCUCUAAAAAAAAAAAGAUUCUUUACUGUACUUUUCUUUGCUGUUAUGACAAAUUACUCGACCUUCAUCAGUUGGCCUAGUAUCACUGAAUAACCAGGACAAUUAUCCGGUGAAUUCAUAUUUAUAAGUAGCUUCUUGGUUUUGCAACUCAUAGUUAAUACAUACAUUUUUUGGAAAAUAUAUAAAAAAUAUAUAGUCAUAUGAUAGCGGAAAGUGUACAGUUUUGUCCGGUUUUAUUUCUGAGUAUUAAAACUUUGUCAUCAUUGGCUUUAAUCUUUUUGUAACUACCGUUAAUGUCGGUUGAUCUGUUAUCUUGAUGACUUUAUCGGUUUUAUUGAAGUUCUCACAAAAAGCUUAAACUUUAGUUUAAUAUUGUUACUCUCGACAUUAUAAUUGAACUUUCAUUUGAUAAAUUAUGCAUAUUAGGAGGAGAUUUUUAUACACAGAAUCAUGUACUUAAACUCAUCAUAAAUACCAGGAUUAACUUUUGUAUUUACGCCAGAUGCACACCUCGCAAACAGAAGACUCACCAGCGACGCACAAAUCCAAAAAAAAGUUAUUUUAUAGCCCAAUACUAAAGUCUUUGUAUUAAAUGUAUGUGACCAUAUCUUGCCCCUUUUUAUCAAUGAUAUCAUUGAUGAAAAUAAUACCAGCUUUUAUCCAAUAUGAAUAAGCUAUACAUUUUCCUUUAAAUUUUCUAAUUUUGUUACCCUACAACAUUUUCUGCCUGAUGUUUUUAAAGUUUGUGAUAGGUACAUGUAUGAUUCUUUUAGUUUAUUAUUUGUUUUGUACCAGUUCUUUAAUAUGUUCAAGUAAAAUGAGGUUAGUGUAUUACUUAAAUUAGGACGUAAGUUUAUGCUGUCUAGGAUCAUAUGACACAUAAGGUUGUUGUUAACCUAAUUUUGUUUAAAUAAUAUGUUGUAAUGACUUUCCAAUUAGCAAAUUCCGUUGCAGUUAAUCGUUUAACUCAUGAAAUUCAUUUAAGAAAUUAUCAAUGUCUGUCAUUUCCAGACUCCAUUUGUGUGACCUUUGGUAAGUGUUGUACGUUAAACCUUUUCUUGAAAUCAUUUUUGUAAAUAUUGGGUUUGGAAACAAGCGAAGCUUAACAAAUAAGCUUAGGUAAGAUAAGUGACUUAGCAACUGUUAUAUCUGCUUACCCUUCCGGAGCACCUGAGUUUUUCCCAAUCAAGUAUUAUUUUUUUUUACUGUUUCAUUUUUUUUUUUCAAUAUUUAAUUUAUCACAUUUGUCUUCAUCUUAUCCAAAGUAUAUACACCUAAACGUUUUAUUGGUUCUUUGCUCCAGUGAAUAUUUUCAUUUUUUUUUCUGUAUACAUUGUCUGAAUGUGCCAAACAAUAUACUUUCUAUUUUAGAUUUAUUGAGUUUUAAGCCAGAAUGUGUUCCAAAUAAUUCUACUUUAUUCAACGCUAGGUUUAAAUUAUUUUUUGAAUUGAGCAAGAGGAGCUAUGUGUCAUCAGCCAAUUGGGAAAUGUUUAGACUAUGUGUUUUAUCGUCAAGUUUUAUUUGAAAUCUUGUCUGACUAUGCAGGUCAGGAUUUCACCUGCUAUUUAAUAAAUACGAGAAUUUAACGGACAUUCUAGUGUUAUACUAAUUUUUAAAACUUUAGAAAUCAAUACUUUCAUUAUUGUCAGCUUAUCAUAUGUGCAUAUCUUCUGACGUGACAACCGGUAUGAAACUACUCUGAUAGCAAAUUGAAAGAAUUUCAGAAUACUAGAGAUAAAAAAAAAAUUUAUUAGUUGUUGGGGUUUUUUUCUGGUUUUUUUUCUGGUUUUUUUUGCCACUGGGACCUCACAUUUGCUAAAUAAUAAUGCUGUGUUUGCGAACAUGAAAUAUAUAGUGAAUUUUGAGGAUAGAACAUACUGUAGUUAGUUUUGUAGGAAUGUUUUUGUAUCUCUAUUGUGUUUUUUUGUUGUGUCGCGGUCAUAAGCAUAGUCAGUUGUUACGGCUUGAGCAUUGGUUUUCGACAGGAUAACAACUACAUUACAGUAAUGUUUGACAAGGAUCUAUGAGUUUCAAUGACUGCAAAUAGUUAAUAUAAGUACUUCCUAAUCAUGUAAAUUACAUAUAUGCAUAUGUUAUGAAUUUUCUUUGCAUACUGAACUUCAGGUAAACUAUGCAUACUGUAAACUGGGAAUUUAUGCUGAGUCAUGAUUUAUAAAGCCCAGGAUUUUCUCAAUCUUCACAUAAAAUUUGCAAUACAUAACUCAUAUAAUGCAAGAGUAAACAACAGAAGUUCAUGUUAGAGCUAUUUUGAAAACAAGUGUAAUCAUAGAAUGCCCGUUUUAGGGAAAUUCAGUUUGGUCACUAGAAAAGGGUACUGAUAGGUAAACAUAUAUUUUUCUAUUGUGAACAACUUUGUACUUGUUUGGCUUUAUAACUAUUUUGAUAUGAGCGUCACUGAUGAGACUUAUGUAGACGAAACGCGUAUUUAAUUAUAAGCCUGGUACCUUUGAUAACUAUUUAAAUUGUAUGGGAAGGAUUUUUGACAAUAGCAGUCUAUUGACCCAUAAGAAAGAGUUGUUACAAAGGUUCUUUAAAUGCAAAGCGCACAACAUUUUCAGACAACCGGGUUUCUCAUUGUUUUUUCCCUGGGUUCAAUAAUAAACAUAGUCACAGAUGUAACCAUCAUUUAUGAGUUCUACUGUAUUAUACGUAUACGUAAUAAUUUUCCAAAAUUUCUGAGUUUACAUAAUUUGUUUGGACAUCGUCUUCUUCAGAAAUUGCUUUGUGGUUAGAUCCCUCAGAACUCAAUAUAAUCAAAAUCUUGAACAAGGCGAACUCUGUGUGUGGAAUGCACACAUCUUAUUUCAAGCCAUAUUCCUUUGCAGGUAAAAAAGGUCUUGACUGAAAUAUGAUGACAUAUGUCUUUCGAGGAAAAUCGGUAUGUGUUCUCAGUUCUUCAAGCAAAUGUGUGAUCCUUUUGAACAAUAAAACAAUCGUCUUUGCCCUCAGUGCUUUUGAAUAAGACAACAAAACAUGAACUGCGACUGUCAAGGAACGCCGUCCAUAUUUUUGUUUUUCUUUCCAUUAAACAUAAACGAGCCAUUGGAGCAUCAUAUGGCAGUAAACUGUUCGCAAAUAAGAAUAUGAUUACUGUGUUUUGAUCAUAAACUCCAGAAUCAGCACAUAUAUAAGGCUUCCGAAACCAACAUUUGAUUCUUCCUGUCAUUUUUGUUUAAAAUAACGAUUGAUUUUGUCAAACUUACACUGUAGUUUGGCUGAAUUGUGCUUAGUUUUCAAUUCAUAAAGUAGGAAGCAGCAGUAUUGGUCAGUCUUUCACCAAUAAAAAAGGCAUCACAAAGACUUUUUGUGCACAAGCAGUUAAGUCUUUAAGGAUAACACAAAACGAAUAUGAGAAAACUUCUAGAGCAUGUAAAUCAUUCAAAUCUUCUUUCUUUCGAUUGCUUAGUUGCAAAAUUACAGAGAAAACUCUAUCGUAAAGGGCCUUGGUAUUAAAAGAGGGACCAAAAAUACCAGAGGGACAGUCAAACUCAUAAAUUGAAAAUAAACACUUGUGAAAAAUGGAUUGACUUUCUUUCUUUAUGUCAUUUCAAAUGGUUAGCUCUUUGUCAGAUUAAAUCAAACGUAGAUUGUUAUGGCGUGUCUAUGAUUUGAGUUUGCAGAACAUACUUAUAGUGCAGUGAAAAGGCAUUGGCAUGUUUCUGGUCAGAAAACUAAAAAAAAUAAUUUUAAAAAAGCAACAGCAUGUGCAGAUGUCAGCAUUUGUAGACUGCAAUGCGUAGAAAUAGUCCCUAAAUAACACUUAAUAAUACUUGGGCAUGUUUUUACAUAUAGCUCUUCAACGGUUUCGGUACUUAUUCAUCUUCGGAUUUCAAAUGUUUGGCUUUGGGCGUUCCUGAUGAGGGUAAAUCUAGAAAAGCGCUUCGGACGCAAGAAAUUAUUAAAUCUGGCCUUUGUUAGUCUUGUAUUUUUUUAAUUUUAGUUUCUUGUGUACAAUUCGGAAAUUAGUAUGGCGUUCAUUAUCACUGAACUAGUAUAUAUUUGUUUAGUGGCCAGCUGAAGGACGCCUCCGGGUGCGGGAAUGUCUCGCUACAUUGAAGUCCUGUUAGUGACCUUCUGCUGUUGUUUUUUCUAUGGUCGGGUUGUUGUUGUCUCUUAGACACAUUCCCCAUAUCCAUUCUCAAUUUUAUUGGUUUCAAUUUUUUUUAUCCGUUCCAAUUUGACUUUUUUGGUUUGAUUGUUAUAAAAUAUUUAGCUUUAACUUUUAGAAAACCUCGAUAAAUUAUCUUUUUUGCAAAAAUGUCUCAGUCAAAUUACAGGGUGCAUAAUCCUGAAACUGAGUGAAAAUAAAAAAAUUUAAAAGCAAAAUAGCAGAAAUUAUAGGUUCACAAUUAGUAUGAAUGAACUCUUCAUAAAAUGCAAAAUCAAGAAUUUGAUGACUAUGAAAAGAAAAAGUAAAAUUGGUUGUCGAGUUAAAAUAAAAUCAACAUGUCUUUUCAUUAACAUUUUAUGAAAAUGGCUAUGACCGGGUACAAAAGUAAUAUUAAUGUAGUACUUUUGCAAAAAAAAUCACUUGCAGCCUGCAGAUAUGCCGGUCCACAAAAAAAAAUAAUAAGCACAUUUUCUCAAUUUGUCACCCCUCUAUCUGCGUUUUUUAAAGAUUGUUGUAUAAGCGACCUGCUUACGCCUGUAGUGACUUUUUAAAACCGAAAAUAACCUUAUCUUCAAUUGUAAAUUUAUGAUGGAAAGACUUUAAAUUGUGUAUAAUUAUUUUGAUUUUAGUAUAUUGAUUCGUGUUAUUCUUUGUAGUGCUUUAUUUGCCCUUAUCUGUAUAAUCAUACGAUUUAGUAUUUGUGUCAUAUUUUGUAGUGAGUGCAGUUUUGGAAUUAUCGAGGCCAUUCUUAUUCAAUGCAGGAACUUUAAAUUGUUUUGGUCACACGUGUCAUCAAACUACUGUAAGUACUCUAUUUUCGCAUUAAUUUAUAUAUAUAUAUAUUUCUUAUUGACGCAAUCUUUCUUGUAACAUCAUAUUUGGUGACACCGUUAAAGAUUUAGAAUUGUGCUAGUUCAUAUCGCACAUUAUUUUUAUUUAAAGCAUAUAUUUAAGCUCUCUGAUGUAAUUAGUCAUAUAACCUAUGUCGUGUUUAACAAAUUUUUAGAAUUGUGCAAGCGUCUUACCUUAUGUUCGGUUUGACUUUUUUAUUGUAUAAAUUUCAAGAUUAUAACAGCGUAAUCUAAGUCGACUGAUAAUUGAUUCAUUCAAUAUCACAAUUAUAUAUACCGAUGAAGGAUAUCUGUUAUCUGAAAUAUUUAUAAAUAAUUACAUUUAUAGUUCCUUUUUAUAUCAUUGGUGUUGUUAUGUACACUUUUUAGGCGUUUAUAUAUAUAUAGAUUGCCUAACAAUGUAAUUUUAACACACUAUUUAGUAUGUAAAUAUAAGAAUGUUUAAAAUAUUUACAAAAUGAUGAAAAUAAACGCAAUAUUUCGCUAGACCAACUAGCUUUAUCAAGCGUGCAUCUAUCCAGGUGAAAUCGGAUGUAGAUGAUAAGAAACUUUUGCAGCUCAACGUCUAUGUUGCACUGAACUGCCUUUUAAAUAAGAAAAUUUUGCAGCUCAAUGUCUAUGACCUCUUGCAUUUAGCUGCUUUGAAAAAUUGGAAAUUUUGCAGCUCAAUGUACAUGUUGCACUUAGAUUUAGCUACCUUAAAAAUACAUAAUUGGUAGUUGAAGUUAGCAACGUCCAUUGGCCAAUAUUACGGGAUAAAAAGGACGAUGCUUUGUUUUAAAUUAUUCUUUAUCUUUCCUGUAUCUUUUUUCGUCUUUUUCGUUAAGACCAUCAGGUUCUAAAGUGUGGAGUUGGUGGAUCCAAAAGUUUCUCUUCUCCUUCUCGCCGUGGUGUCCCAUUCGGUGUUGACUUCUAUAAUUUGGAAAGUGACAUUAUCAAAAGGAUGUUUCGUUGAACGAAGAUGUCUUGUGAGAGGACAGUUUUUGUUGGUUUUGUACGAUGAACGAUGGUUAUUGAGCCGAAUAUUAAAUUUGUCCAUUGUUUCUUCCACAUACUGAAUGCCACAAGUGUCACAUGUUAAUAUAUGAAUUGAGUUCUCCAUUUUACAGUUGGAAUUAGAGUAGAUGGUAUAAUUUUGUUUAGUAACGGAGCUGAUGAAAGAACUGCUUGUAUUGGCAGCUUUACAACACAAACAAUUCCUUCGACCACAUUGUUUGUAGCAACCGGGCGAUUGAUUAGGCUGCUUUGCUAAUACAGAUGUCACUAAUUUGUCACGGAUGUUUUUAGGUCUUCUGAAGGCCAUGACUGGUGGUGAAGAAAAUACUUUUUUUAGAUUUAAAUCAUUUUCUAUAAUUUUCCAAUGCUUCUGAACAAUGGAUAACACAUUUUUAAAAUCAGGAUGGUAAGUGAGUACAAGAGGGUGUUCUGUUAGCUGCUUUAUUCUUAUCUUUGUACUCAAGAAGUUCUUGGCGACUAGUUUUGUUUGCUCUUUCGAAAGCGCUAUCAAUGAUGUUGUUAUUGUAUCCUCGAACAACUAGAUGUUUCAGAAGUUGUCCAAGUCUAGCAUUUUUCGUAUUUUCAGUAGAGUAUAUUCUCUUGGUUCGCAAUGCCUGGCUGAAUGGGAUACCACGGGAGCAGUGUUUAGGAUAGCAACUUUUAGGAGAAAGGAAUUGAUGUUUGUCCGUUUGUUUGGUAUGGAGGUCCGUUAUAAUGGUUCCGUUCUUGAUGUAACUCGUAGUAUCGAGGAAGUUUAUUUUCUCCAUAGAUGAUUCAUAUGUAAAUUUUAUUGAAUGGUGGAAAGAGUUGCAGUGUUCUAGAAAUUCAUUAAGAUGUUCUUGUGAAUCUGUCCAUUUGAAAUCAAUAUCGUCAAUGAAUCGGAACCAUGAUAAGGGCUGAUAUGGAGCACUAGCCAAGAGGCGUUUUUCAAGUUGGCCCAUAAAUAUGUUGGCAUAUGACGGGGCCAUUUUUUGUGCCCAUACUAUCUGGAGAUAGUGUUUUUCAUUGAAAGAGAAGUUGUUAUUCUCCAGUACUAGUUUCAGAAGUGUAACAAGGCACUCAGUAGGAGGAUUUUUUUCACUACGAGUGUUCCAUGCCUCUUCACAGGCUGCUAUUCCUUCGUCUUGUGGAAUGUUGGUAUAUAAAGAAGACACGUCCAUGGAUGCAAGUAUAGUAUUGCUUGGUAAAGGAUUGAGGCUUUCCAUUUUCUUGAGAUAAUCAGUUGUAUCUUGAAUGAAUGAGGGUAGUUCUUUCACAUGAGGUCUUAGAUAAUGGUCUACAAAUUCUGAUAUCUUUUCAGUUGGAUGACUAUUCGCUGACACAAUUGGUCGACCUGGAUUGCCCGUUUUAUGUAUUUUAGGCACCAUAUAGAAUCGUCCGGCCUUUGCUUCGUUCUCAAGAGGUCGGAGACAAUCAAAGGUGUCAUUGUCUAUAUGCUUUUUGUCGAACAUCUCUUGAAGGAUGGUGUUGAUCCUAUCCUAUAUAAGUACGUCUGAGUCAGUGACAACUCUACAACAGAUUUAUCCAUCGGAUCACCAGCAAUGAUGGUAAUACAUGGCUGUGUACAUAAUGUAUAUACAACUCGUCUAAACAUCAACCCAACAAUGUUAGAUCUGUAAACAUGGAUAAAUCUGUUGUAGAGUUGUCACUGACUCAGACGUACUUAUAAAUAUAAUUAUUUUCUGUGAUUGUAUCGUGCAUUAAUUUGUAGGAUCCUUUACUAUAGAUAUUUGAGCUGAUCUGUAACAAUAACAUCUCCAUGCCUUAUAUAUCAUGUAAUGUAGUACGACACUAGAUUAUAACUGACGAGGAAAGGUAACACACGGCCACCGAAAGCUUUAUUUUGAAGCCCAGGUGGUCGUGUGGUCUAGCGGGACGGCUAUAGUGCAGGCGAUUUGGUGUCACGAUAUCUCAGUAGCAUGGGUUCGAAUUUCGGCGAGGGAAGAACAAAAAAUUUGCGAAAGCAAAUUUACAGAUCUAACAUUGUUGUGUUGAUGUUAAGACGAGUUGUAUAUACAUUAUGUACACAGCCAUGUAUUACCAUCAUUGUUGGUGAUCCGAUGGAUAAAUCUGUUGUAGAGUUGUCACUGACUCAGACGUAUUUAUAAAUAUAAUUAUUUUCUGUGAUUGUAUCUUGCAUUAAUUUGUAGGAUCCUUUACUAUAGAUAUUUGAGCUGAUCUGUAACAAUAACAUCUCCAUGCCUUAUAUAUCAUGUACUGUAGUACGACGCUAGAUUAAAACUGACGAGGAAAGGUAACACCCGGGCACCGAAAGCUUCAUUUUUUUAUGAAGCCCAGGUGGUCGUGUGGUCUAGUGCACCGGUGAUUUGGUGUCACGAUAUCUCAGUAGCAUGGGUUCGAAUCCCGGCGACGGAAGAACCAAAAAUUUGCGAAAGUAAAUUUACAGAUGUAACAUUGUUGGGUUGAUGUUUAGACGAGUUGUAUUUAUAUAUAUAUAUAUGUAAAUAGAAGUCUAUAAAAAGGACCAACCAGCAAAUUUACUAUGUACCGGAUCGUCUAGAAUAGACGAUACUAUGCAGAUAAGGAAAAAAUUAUAUCAGUCUAAAUAUUUGCACAACACUACAGAGAUAAGAUGUUAUUAUACGAAAAUGUUGUUAUUAAAUCGUGUUGACAAAUAUUUCGGCUAAACAAAUGCCCUUCGUCAGUGUCAAAAGUUUAAACAAUACUGAUAUUAGGUGUAAAAAUAGAUCAGUAACAGUACAGGUAAGUUUUGGUCUCUUAAUUUAAAUCCAAAAUCCUGAAUCUCAUAAUAUAAACAAAACACUAUAAUUCAAUAUACGUGACUGUGUAUAUUAACAUUAAAAAAUGAGUGAAAAACAAAACUGUCAGUAUUUCUUAAUGAUGCCGUUUGGAUGAUGUACAUUUAGUUCCUUCAUCCAAAAGCUUUCCCGAACCUGCCACUGGGCAUCAUUCCAAGGAAAGUUCUGUUCAAUCACUAGAAUUUUCAUGCGGUUAAAGUCAUCAAAUUUGUGACCCGACUGUCUGAUGAUGAUGCUGAUGAUGAUGAUGAUGAUGAUGAUGAUGAUGAUGAUGAUGAUGAUGAUGAUGAUGAUGAUGAUGAUGAUGAUGAUGAUGAUGAUGAUGAUGAUGAUGAUUGAUGAUGAUGAUGAUGAUGAUGAUGAUGAUGAUGAUGAUGAUGAUGAUGAUGAUGAUGAUGAUGAUGAAUCAAAGCACCCGUUCGAAAAUAUGAAAAGGAGAAGAUGGACUUCCUAUCUAGGUUCUAGGUUCUUUAUUCAUGAGUUUUGGUGCAAAUUAUUGUUAUCAAUUUUAAUUCGAACGUUGGUCGCUUUAUUGUAGAAGGACUCUUAAAUGUUCGCAUUUCAACAAUUUAUAAUCCAAUUAUUUCACCUUAAAAUCAUUUAUAUAAUUAAUAAUGAGACUAUGUUAAAAGUAACAUAACAAACCUACAUUUUUUUAACAGAAAUUCCCAUAGCCAAUGCAAAAAUCCAAAGCACCAAGACAUCAAACGAAUUGAUAACUGCCUUGAUACAGCAUUUUCUUCUGUACAAAAUGGUGAAUUAAGCCUGUGACCGCGUUUAUGUAUCUACUUCUUUUUCUUAAAAUGUAUUGACGUUUUUACUACACUAUCAUGACAAUCAUAUGUACUUUUUUGUUUGAAAACCAGCAUGAAAAUCAUGUAAGUAUAAACAAAUAUGUGUAUGUUUGCUUAUAAGGCGAGUAAACACUGCCUAUAUAUUUCUAAAGAACGUCAAUUUGUGCUUCUGUUUUCUCUUCUGUUUCAUUUCGUUGGAUCAUUGUUUUUUUUUAUUUAAGCAAUAUAAGGGAAAAUCUUUGAAUGUUACAGCUGAGAGAAAAAUUACACAAUGAAAGUGCUUUCCAACUGUUUAAAGCCAAAACGUCUCAUCAAUUAAUUUUCUUUUGACAUCUCUCAUAUUUGUUCAUUAGAGUCCUUGUAUUGUGUAAACGUCCGAAUCAUAGCAUAAACCAUGGACCAUGCAUAAAACAUCCUAACACUAUUUUACCGUACAUCAUUUACCAUAGAUAUAGAAAUAUGUGGUAUGAGUGUCAAUGAGACAACUCUCCAUCCAAAUAACCAUGACCAUUACCCAUACCAGUUUCCCUGUUCAUUUUGAAUCAUGCGAUGUGUUUGUGGGAAUUGUUAAAUAACAAGUUUUAAAAAAAUAUUCAACAUCAGGCAUGCAUCAUACACUAUUCCACAAACACAACAAAUAAUUACCAUUAUACCAUACGCGUAUUUUUAAUAUACAUCAUUAUAAUACAUCAGAUAUAUACAAAUAAUGUCAGUUUAGAAAAUGUGACAAAAUUACUUACAUCCGAUUUCCUGACUUUUUCGGUUUACUUGAAUUGUUAAAUCAACAUUGACUUCUAGAUAAAAAAUAUUUUCAUUAUUCAUCUGAUUUUUUUAAAAACAAAAUCAUGGAUAAAAUGAUAAAAUUAUUUAAUGAAAUCCUGUAAAUAUUGUUUGUCAUUAUAACUCAUAGAUAUAUCUAUUUGAAAUCUGUUUAAAUCUUAGGGUCUUAAAUGUAUAGCCUAAGAUUGCAUAUGGAGAGAAUGUAUACAAAUAACGAAUGUUUUGGUAAAAAUGCCACCCAUCCUGAAACAUGUGUCUAUCGCACAUUCAAAACCGAAAUCAUAAUUUUUUAUCUACUUAUUUGGAACUGUACUGCUCUAUUUAUCUUUAGAGUUACUGUACCUGUUAUAAUUGAAAAAUGUCCAUACUAAUACGUUUUGUAACAAUAAGUAUAAGCUUUAUCUGAAAUAAUUUUGAUGGUGUGUCAUUAAUAUAAGUUUCAAAUCGUAAAUCAGAAUUUCUUGGUGUAGGGGUAUUUUUGCUUUUUUUACCAAACCACUGGAGGCUAAGUUCUGUUUUACAUACAUCAAAGGUAUGAUGUAAUUCAAUGUUAAAUAAGUUAGUCAAAUAUUUCAACCUCUAAAAUGAUAUGGGGGUACCUGCAUAAUAACAAAUUGCAGAAGCAUAAAAGACAAACAUCAUUAUGGUUUUGAAAAUCAAAGCUUAACAUUUUCAAUGCUUUUGUUAUAUAAUCUAAAUGUUUAAUAAUUGAAAUACUAUAUUUUUUUCUGAAGUCAUGUACAGAAAAAAUAGAAAUGUUUUGUUAAAUGAAGUGACUAUUUUAAUGAUAUAAUUACUGUUCCGAUAGUGCCUUUUCAUUAUGUUAGAUAAAACAUUAUUAUAGCCUAGUUUAUUUCAUGAUUUGAUCCUUAUCGUUGUUCAUUUUGUAUUAUAUCAGAAGAUUAAAGAUACUCUAAGAUUUAUCAUUUUGACUUAGGUGUUUUUUGAUGUGUUGAGUUCUGUUAUUUUAAAUUAAGUUGCCAAAUAAAUAAACAAAUAAUAUAUAUCUCUUUCCUAUAUCACAGAGAUUCUGCAUGUCCUUAUUUUCAGGUUGGCAAAAACCGGAGUCACUGUGAUAUUGACACAUCAAAUGGUACUCUUCAUGGAAAAUGUAAUGGCAAAGAUAUUUUA
rnacentral:lncRNA from 1 species